rnacentral:tRNA from 1 species
GGGGUAUGGCUCAGUGGCAGAGCACUUCCCUAGCAAGGGCCUGGGUUCAAUUCCAAGUACCACCA